rnacentral:rRNA from 1 species
UUUUUCCUCAAGACUAGCCAUGCACGUCUAAGUACAAACUAAAUGAUGGUGAAACUGCAAAUGGCUCAUUACAACGGUUAUGAUGUACCCGGGAGUUCCGAUGGAUAUUUCCAGUAACACUAGAACUAAUACAUGUCCCUGCGUUUAUUAGUUUCGCACAGUCCGUCGCUGAGUCAUGGUAAACAGUUGAUCGACUCGACGUCCCGGAACAGUUUCCGCCCCAUCAGCUUCGAUGGUUGGGUAUUGGCCUACCAUUGCAACAACGGGUAACGAGGAAUUAGGGUUUGAUUUCGGAGAGGGAGCCUGAGAAACGGCUACCACAUCUACGGAUGGCAGCAGGCGCGCAAAUUACCCAAUGCAGACACUGUGAGGUAGUGACGAGAAAUAAUAAAGCGGGACUUCUGUUUCGCUAUUAUAAUGAGGAAUAACCAAAGGUCAUUCCGAUUAGCAACUGAUGGGAAAGUCUGGUGCCAGCAGCCGCGGUAAUACCAGCGUCAGUA